AUAAAUGGGAACUCGGGAACUUCCUUAGUUUUUAGGCAUUUCAGUUUAAGCAUAUGAGGAUGAGGCAUUAACCCUUAGUGUCAAAAUAGAUGUAAUAUGAAAAGCACAAAAAUGUACAGCAAACAGAUGAUGAGAAUUUGGUAUGUGAUAAAUGGGAACUCAGGAACUUCCUGCGUUUUUAGGCAUUUCAGUUUAAGCGUAUGAGAAUGAGGCCUUAACCCUUGGUGUCAAAAUAGAAAAGAGAAUAGACUACAAGGGGAGGACAAUAAAACCAUCCCUACCACUACAAAAUCUGAUCACAGAGAAAAGAAUAUAUUGGAAUUGACAUAUUGACAUGUUCAAUAAGCUGUGAUGGGAGAAAGGUAAA
rnacentral:lncRNA from 1 species